GGCUCUUAUUCAAAAACAACUGAAAAAACAAUUGGUGGGCCCGCCGGUUAGUGAGACUAAUAUGAUGUAGGCAUGAUCUUGUUUCUGCAUAUUAUUUCUGUUAUUGCUCAUAAUAAUAACCCGACGCCAUCUCCUUGAGCGACAAUUUUCAUGCUCAUAAAUUACAAGCAUAGAUAAUGAUUUUAACACAGAAUCAGAAAUCGCCUUAGCAACUCUCCAAACAGUAACAGAAUCUGAAAUCACAUGGCAACUCGUUUUCCAAACAGAAACUGAGAACACAUCAAAACCACGAACGGCUACUUCAGAAAGGCGAAACAUAAUCCAUGGGUCCAUAUGGCUCAAACAGUUCAGCAAAGAAUCCUCUCUUUCUCUUUGGGUUCCAUCCCAUGUCUUUGCAGAGUUGAUCAUUGUACCAUAUAUGAAGAGUAGCAAUGCAUGAUCUCUUGUAAUAGGGCCCUGAAUAUCGUUUCUUAUAUUGAUCCCAUUUUUCCACAUCUUCUUCCAUCUCUUUUAUGCUAGGCGUCUUGAAUGUACCAUCAAGAAGCUCUGCUAGCCAUCGGCUUCUUAUCUCUGAGGUGUACAAGUUGGAAAGACUUUCUGAAAAUCCGAUCACUGCCAGCUGUGGAAUUUGUGGAUGAAUGCAUUCCCUGUAGAGAGGAAUUGCUGUAGUAGGGGACCCAACUAAGCAUUCUUGAAACAUUGCAGACAUAAAGAUGUCUUUGAGCUUCUUAUCACCUUUAAAACCUGUAGCCAAUAUGACCAGAUCAGUCUCUAGAGUUUGGUCCUCGCCAUCAACAUUAAUGCCUUCUUUGCAGAAGCUGAAACUUGGAGCUUUCUUCAAUAUGAUGCUUCCCUCUUCAACUUUGUCAUAAAAUUUGUCUGGAAUCGUUGAGACUGUACAAGAAUUAAUUUCUUGAAGGAAACUGUGUUUGGGCACCAUUCCAAAUUUAGCCAAUGGAAGCUUAUUCUUGCAAUGGCUUUCCAUAAAUUUUGAAAAAGCCCAUCUCAAAGGUGUGAGAAUAUUUGCCAAAAGACUGAGUAGGAAACCUUCACCAGGCUUAUGAACGACGAGUUCUGAGAAGCGAUUGAGAUAGAAAUAGGCUAGAGGCACCCCCCAAGGAAGGUAGUCAGGGACAGUCCAAUGUUCAGUUUUGUAUAAAACUCUGCAUGGACGUUCAACCCCAUUUGCUGCACAGCACUCCAUUGCAAUAUCCAGUGCAGAUUUCUGGAACCCCACAACAGUAACUCGCUUCCCAUGUAAGAACUUCCUAGCACUUUGAAAAUCCAUGUUGAAGUAGUCCACUGCAUGUAUC
rnacentral:misc_RNA from 1 species